rnacentral:rRNA from 1 species
UGGGGAAUAUUGGACAAUGGGGGCAACCCUGAUCCAGCGAUGCCGCGUGUGUGAAGAAGGCCUGCGGGUUGUAAAGCACUUUAGUUGGGGAGGAAAGGUAUGUACUGCAUAAGUGCAUGCUGUGACGUUACCCAAAGAAUAAGCACCGGCAAACUCUGUGCCAGCAGCCGCGGUAAUACAGAGGGUGCAAGCGUUAAUCGGACUUACUGGGCGUAAAGCGUGCGCAGGCGGCUUUGCAAGACAGAUGUGAAAUCCCCGGGCUCAACCUGGGAACUGCAUUUGUGACUGCAAGGCUAGAGUGCAGAAGGGGCAAUCGGAAUUCUUGGUGUAGCGGUGAAAUGCGUAGAUAUCAAGAGGAACACCUGAGGUGAAGACGGGUUGCUGGGCUGACACUGACGCUGAGGCGCGAAAGCCAGGGGAGCAAACGGGAUUAGAUACCCUAGUAGUCCCUGAGCGGGCUGGCAAGGCGCAU